rnacentral:rRNA from 1 species
UACGUAGGGCGCGAGCGUUGUCCGGAAUUAUUGGGCGUAAAGAGCUCGUAGGCGGUUUGUCGCGUCUGCUGUGAAAACUGGGGGCUCAACCCCCAGCCUGCAGUGGGUACGGGCAGACUAGAGUGCGGUAGGGGAGAUUGGAAUUCCUGGUGUAGCGGUGGAAUGCGCAGAUAUCAGGAGGAACACCGAUGGCGAAGGCAGAUCUCUGGGCCGUAACUGACGCUGAGGAGCGAAAGCGUGGGGAGCGAACAGG